CAUGAACUUGAAGGGUUUGGUUUUUACGUCAUUCCCUUUGUGCUAUCUUUAUUCUCCAGAGAUGAAGAUGAAGCACCACUAAAGCUAUAAGCAGGCAACUACGUUUUUCAAGGGUGUAUAUGUCUCCAUGGUCUGGUUCAGUCACAAUAAUGGAGCAGGUGCAGCGCUUAUUCAGGGAAAGAAGAAAAAGAAAAGAACUCACAACCUGUAUGAAGCAAUAAAAG